GUGGGCCUUUCAUCACAUCCUCUGAUGGGGCAAUCUCCAAUUCAACAAUUGGGAGGGAUUUUCAUCCCUCGCUGUUGCUGGAGUUGAUCCGAUAGUCAAAGCUUGGGCAUAGUCACCCUCUAGAGCUGAAGGACCGAUGGUCGGGGCCUUGGCCUAUUUUUUUCAGACCAACGCUAGUUCAAGCUUCCUUACGAGUUCUGCGCUUAUCUUGCCUCUGAGGAUCGCAACAAGGGUUUGGAGCAGGAAGGUCUCACGAUUACUUUUCUUUGACUAAACGUCUAGG
rnacentral:lncRNA from 1 species